rnacentral:rRNA from 1 species
AGCGAACGUUAGCGGCAGGCUUAACACAUGCAAGUCGAGCGAGAAAGGGGGGCAACCCCUGAGUAAAGCGGCGGACGGGUGCGUAACACGUGGAUAAUCUGCCUAGAAGUGGGGAACAACAAUCCGAAAGGAUUGCUAAUGCCGCAUGUCGCGUCGGGGACUCCGGUUCCUGCCGCAAAAGAGGGCGCCGCAAGGGCUCUCGCUUCUAGAUGAGUCCGCGUCCCAUCAGCUAGUUGGCGGGGUAACGGCCCACCAAGGCUUUGACGGGUA